CCCAACGAGAUAUCCAAACCUCAAGGAGGGGCGCCAACUCCAUUACAUGGAUUAAAGUGGCGUGUCCUCAACAACGUAAUCAAAUAGAUUGCGGGUAUUUCAUGUUGAGGUUUAUGCGAGAUACUCUUGCUUUGGGCCGAUUAAAGAUUCUCACCGAUUACUUUGAUGAAUUCAAGUGUGCAUUUUAUACAAAGGAUCAAGUGGACGAAAUCAAAGAGGAGUGGUGUCAAUUCAUGAUAAAGCUCGAUGUUUGUUCAUAAAUUUGUGUAAUUAAUGUGUACAUUUGUAGUAUAUGUUAUGACUUGUAAAUGUGUACAUAAAUUUGUAUAUAUUUUGAUACAUU